rnacentral:rRNA from 1 species
UGGGGAAUAUUGCACAAUGGGCGCAAGCCUGAUGCAGCAACGCCGCGUGAGGGAUGACGGCCUUCGGGUUGUAAAGCACUUUUGUCCGGAAAGAAAACGUCGUGGUUAAUACCCGUGGCGGCUGACGGUACCGGAAGAAUAAGCACCGGCUAACUACGUGCCAGCAGCCGCGGUAAUACGUAGGGUGCAAGCGUUAAUCGGAAUUACUGGGCGUAAAGCGUGCGCAGGCGGUCCGCUAAGACAGAUGUGAAAUCCCCGGGCUUAACCUGGGAACUGCAUUUGUGACUGGCGGGCUAGAGUAUGGCAGAGGGGGGUUAGAAUUCCACGUGUAGCAGUGAAAUGCGUAGAGAUGUGGAGGAAUACCGAUGGCGAAGGCAGCCCCUGGGCCAAUACUGACGCUCAUGCACGAAAGCGUGGGGAGCAAACAGGAUUAGAUACCCUGGUAGUCCACGCCCUAAACGAUGUCAACUAGUUGUCGGGUCUUCAUUGACUUGGUAACGUAGCUAACGC